rnacentral:rRNA from 1 species
CAGCCGCCGCGGUAAUACGUAGGGCGCGAGCGUUGUCCGGAAUUAUUGGGCGUAAGGAGCUUGUAGGCGGUUGGUCACGUCUGCUGUGAAAGGCCGGGGCUUAACUCCGGUUUUGCAGUGGGUACGGGCUAACUAGAGUGCAGUAGGGGAGACUGGAAUUCCUGGUGUAGCGGUGGAAUGCACAGAUAUCAGGAGGAACACCGAUGGCGAAGGCAGGUCUCUGGGCUGUAACUGACGCUGAGAAGCGAAAGCAUGGGGAGCGAACAGGAUUAGAUACCCCAGUAGUCCCUGUCUCUUAUAC